CGUUGCAGCCCUCCUUGGGCGUUUCCUCCCUAGACUUAAGACCGCCCUCGAAAGAGCCGGCGGUCUUUUUUUUGACCUCG
rnacentral:sRNA from 1 species